rnacentral:rRNA from 1 species
GAUGAACGCUGGCGGCGUGCCUAAUACAUGCAAGUCGAGCGAAUGGAUUAAGAGCUUGCUCUUAUGAAGUUAGCGGCGGACGGGUGAGUAACACGUGGAUAACCUGCCCAUAAGACUGGGAUAACUCCGGGAAACCGGGGCUAAUACCGGAUAACAUUUUGAACCGCAUGGUUCGAAAUUGAAAGGCGGCUUCGGCUGUCACUUAUGGAUGGACCCGCGUCGCAUUAGCUAGUUGGUGAGGUAACGGCUCACCAAGGCAACGAUGCGUAGCCGACCUGAGAGGGUGAUCGGCCACACUGGGACUGAGACACGGCCCAGACUCCUACGGGAGGCAGCAGUAGGGAAUCUUCCGCAAUGGACGAAAGUCUGACGGAGCAACGCCGCGUGAGUGAUGAAGGCUUUCGGUCGUAAAACUCUGUUGUUAGGGAAGAGCAAGUGCUAGUUGAAUAAGCUGGCACCUUGACGGUACCUAACCAGAAAGCCACGGCUAACUACGUGCCAGCCGCCGCGGUAA